UGAAAGCGAGCAAGCGCGAGAGUCUGACGUGCGGUCGUGUCUCCUGUCUCGUGAUUUUGCAAACGCGUAUUAAACCGAAGACGAGGAGACGUCAAGUGUUGUCAAUUCGCACCCUUCACAGGAAAUUUUCCAAGCCUAGCCUAGCUUCUGGACCCAGAGAUCCUCUCUGUUCGCCUUCCCCUCAUCUUUCCCCAGGUCCCUUGUUCCUACUGACCGUCCAACGGUCCGACACGAGGAUGACGAUCAUCAAGGCAGUCUGUGUCCUUCGGGGAAAGUCUGUUGAGGGGACCGUGCACUUCGAACAAGCGGAAGGUUCAGAAACGGUAAAAGUGACCGGACAGAUUUCCGACUUGCAGAAAGGCCUACACGCUUUUCAUAUUUAUGACUUUGGCUACGACACCAACGGUGAUGAGGGUGCUCAUUUCAAUCCAUUGGGUAAAGAUCAUGGUGGUCCAGACCACGAUGUGCUCCAUGUUGGAGAUUUAGAAAACGUAAAGGCCGGUACCGGCAGCAUUGCAGAAGUUAACAUCAUCGAUUCUAUGAUUCAGCUCAGCGGAUCGCACAGUAUUAUCGGACGAACUCUCGUGGUAAAUUAGAUCGACUCGUAAUAACUUGAACGCUAUUAGAUUGUCGAAAUCACGAAUCAUUCCAAUGAGAUAUUCUUCACUAACAUUAUAACUAAUGAAUUUAUAAAUGUCCAUGCUGAUCCCGAUGAUUUGGGCCAGAGUGGCCACGAACUGUCAAAGAUAACUGGCAAUACUCAUCUUGCCUG